rnacentral:rRNA from 1 species
AACGCUGAAGGAGGAGCUUGCUUCUCUGGAUGAGUUGCGAACGGGUGAGUAACGCGUAGGUAACCUGCCUGGUAGCGGGGGAUAACUAUUGGAAACGAUAGCUAAUACCGCAUAAUAGUAGAUGUUGCAUGACAUUUGCUUAAAAGGUGCAAUUGCAUCACUACCAGAUGGACCUGCGUUGUAUUAGCUAGUUGGUGGGGUAACGGCUCACCAAGGCGACGAUACAUAGCCGACCUGAGAGGGUGAUCGGCCACACUGGGACUGAGACACGGCCCAGACUCCUACGGGAGGCAGCAGUAGGGAAUCUUCGGCAAUGGACGGAAGUCUGACCGAGCAACGCCGCGUGAGUGAAGAAGGUUUUCGGAUCGUAAAGCUCUGUUGUAAGAGAAGAACGAGUGUGAGAGUGGAAAGUUCACACUGUGACGGUAUCUUACCAGAAAGGGACGGCUAACUACGUGCCAGCAGCCGCGGUAAUACGUAGGUCCCGAGCGUUGUCCGGAUUUAUUGGGCGUAAAGCGAGCGCAGGCGGUUAGAUAAGUCUGAAGUUAAAGGCUGUGGCUUAACCAUAGUACGCUUUGGAAACUGUUUAACUUGAGUGCAAGAGGGGAGAGUGGAAUUCCAUGUGUAGCGGUGAAAUGCGUAGAUAUAUGGAGGAACACCGGUGGCGAAAGCGGCUCUCUGG